rnacentral:misc_RNA from 1 species
GAUGAAGAACGCAGCGAAAUGCGAUACGUAAUGUGAAUUGCAGAAUUCAGUGAAUCAUCGAGUCUUUGAACGCACAUUGCGCCCCCUGGUAUUCCGGGGGGCAUGCCUGUUCGAGCGUCAUUACAACCCUCAGGCCCCCGGGCCUGGCGUUGGGGAUCGGCGGAGCCCCCCGUGGGCACACGCCGUCCCCCAAAUGCAGUGGCGGUCCCGCCGCAGCUUCCAUCGCGUAGUAGCUAACACCUCGCGACUGGAGAGCGGCGCGGCCACGCCGUAAAACACCCAACUCUUCUGAAGUUGACCUCGAAUCAGGUAGGAAUACCCGCUGAACUUAAGCAUAUCAAUAAGCGGAGGA